rnacentral:rRNA from 1 species
UACGGAGGGGGCUAGCGUUGUUCGGAAUUACUGGGCGUAAAGCGCACGUAGGCGGCUUUGUAAGUUAGAGGUGAAAGCCCAGGGCUCAACCCUGGAAUUGCCUUUAAGACUGCAUCGCUUGAAUCAUGGAGAGGUGAGUGGAAUUCCGAGUGUAGAGGUGAAAUUCGUAGAUAUUCGGAGGAACACCAGUGGCGAAGGCGGCUCACUGUCCGGUACUGACGCUGAGGCGCGAAAGCGUGGGGAGCAAACAGG